rnacentral:rRNA from 1 species
CCUACGGGAGGCAGCAGUGGGGAAUUUUGGACAAUGGGGGCAACCCUGAUCCAGCAAUGCCGCGUGAGUGAAGAAGGCCUUCGGGUUGUAAAGCUCUUUUGUCAGGGAAGAAACGGCGGUUUCUAAUACAGAUCGCUAAUGACGGUACCUGAAGAAUAAGCACCGGCUAACUACGUGCCAGCAGCCGCGGUAAUACGUAGGGUGCAAGCGUUAAUCGGAAUUACUGGGCGUAAAGCGUGCGCAGGCGGUUAUAUAAGUCAGAUGUGAAAUCCCCGGGCUCAACCUGGGAACUGCAUUUGAGACUGUAUGGCUAGAGUGUGUCAGAGGGGGGUAGAAUUCCACGUGUAGCAGUGAAAUGCGUAGAUAUGUGGAGGAAUACCGAUGGCGAAGGCAGCCCCCUGGGAUAACACUGACGCUCAUGCACGAAAGCGUGGGGAGCAAACAGGAUUAGAUACCCUGGUAGUCCACGCCCUAAACGAUGUCUACUAGUUGUCGGGUCUUAAUUGACUUGGUAACGCAGCUAACGCGUGAAGUAGACCGCCUGGGGAUACGGUCGCAAGAUUAAAACUUAAGAUAGACGCGNGNGAGAGACGACGACGACGACGAGGAGGAGGAGG